UUCCGGUUGAUCCUGCCGGAGGCGACCGCUUUUGGAGUUCGAUUAAGCCAUGCGAGUCGAGAGCCUUAGGGGCUCGGCAUACUGCUCAGUAACACGUGGAUAACCUGCCCUAUUGUCUGGAAUAACCUCGGGAAACUGAGAACAAGGCCGGAUAACCCACAAUGCCUGGAACGGUUUGUGGGUGAAGAUAGGAUGGGUCUGCGGCGUAUCAGGUCGUAGGGGGUGUAAUGGACCUCCUAGCCAUCGACGCGUACGGGUGUUGGGAGACAUAGCCCGGAGAUGGAUUCUGAGACACGAAUCCAGACCCUACGGGGUGCAGCAGGCGCGAAAACUUCACACUGCAGGAAACUGUGAUGAGGGAACUCCAAGUGCAUGCACUAUGUGUAUGCUUUUCUUAACUAUUAAUCGGUUUUGGAAUAAGGGCUGGGAAAGACCGGUGCCAGCCGCCGCGGUAAUACCGGCAGCUCAAGUGGUCGUCGCUUUUAUUGGGCCUAAAACGUCCGUAGCCUGUUUGGUAAAUCUGUGGGUAAAUCAACCAGCUUAACUGGUUGAAUUCUGCAGAGACUGCCAGACUAGGGACCGGGAGAGGUGUGGGGUACUCUAGGGGUAGGGGUAAAAUCCUGUCAUCCUUAGAGGACCACCAGUUGCGAAGGCGCCACACUGGAACGGAUCCGACGGUCAGGGACGAAGCCUAGGGGCACGAACCGGAUUAGAUACCCGGGUAGUCCUAGGUGUAAACGCUGUGAACUUGGUGUCGGGGAUCCGUAAUGGGUUCUCGGUGCCGGAGUGAAGAUGUUAAGUUCACUGCCUGUGGAGUACGGUCGCAAGGCUGAAACUUAAAGGAAUUGGCGGGGGAGCACUGCAACGGGAGGAGCGUGCGGUUUAAUUGGAUCAACGCCGGA
rnacentral:rRNA from 1 species